GGUAGAACAGAUGAUACUUCUUUGAGCCCCAUCUUGGUACCUCCACAAAGCCAACAGUACAGUCACGAGGGAAUAAUGGUAAAGACCAUUCUCAGUAUCUAAUGAUUGUCCAUGCUCUGUCAUUUGACUCAUACAAGGAGCUCUAGUAAACAUUUACUAGCUGCUUUGGAAAGCAAGUGGGUUAAUACCUAAUGACAACACUGUUACCACUGAGUCCAGGCUCCUACUGCUCAUCAUAAGAUAGGACAAUAAAUCAAGAUAUGAGUUGUUAGGGCAAGGAAUAGUUAGUGACUUUAUUCAGAAAGCCAGCAGUUGGAGAAGAUGGACUAGUGUCCCAAAAAACACUCUUCUCUGUUAGAAUUCAGACUUCUUUUAUACUAAAAGGCUAAGAAGUAAAGACCUUGCUCCAGCCAGACUUUGGUAGAAAUGUGUUAAUUUCUGCCUUCCUAUAGCUAUUCACAGAUGGGCCUGGUCAGGAUGUUUCCUGUGAGCUAAACAAAAGUAUUUUAGCUUAAUGCUCAUUACCUGGGAGGAAGGGUUACUGCAGUCUUUGUGUAUGACUUAAGUUUAUAGGCAACAUUCUUUUAGUGAUUAUCUUAUAAUAGGAUACAAAGUUUCUUCCCUUCUAGAGCAGAACUUGCACCUUAGCCUGAGCUGGUUGGAUUUUUGUAUGCUACUGUUCAAACCUUUGCUCAUCAGCAGAAUUACAAUCCAAACAGUCAUUAUUCCAGAUAGUGAUUUGUAGAGUCAAUGAUAAUUCCCAUCAUGUGUGAUAAACAUCAUGUUUGUGAAUAAUAAUUACAUGUAAAGCACAAACAUAUCCAAGACAUACGGCAAAACUGAAAUCCACAUGCUACCUCCUUCUCAGGGAAGAAUGAUAAGCAAACCAUGUGUUUUGUUUUUAUUUACACAUCUGGUUCCAAAGCUAAUGGUUAGUGUAUUUGCCUUGUUAGAAGACCUAGAAUUAUGAGCUGUUUAUAUGAUGCAUAUGAAGUUGAUAAGUUAGUGCCUAAAAAAGAUACUUAUUUCUAUGUAGAUGCCGCCAUUUUGGACAGAAUGGAACAAAUGAUUCUUCACUUGGAUGGAAGUAAACACACAGGCACCUUCUUAAAGAGAUGGAGCAAAGAUAAACCUCGGAUGGUGGAGCCGUAAUUACAGUCUGAGUAUCCUGGUUUGGUACUGAAGACGGGGCUGGAUCGGCAGUGGAAAGUUCGGAUGACAUUCCGACACCUGGAGUAGGAUGGCCCAGAGAGCAGCCACUGUGGGACUGCGUGUAUUCCUACCCCGAUGCCCUGAAGGAAAGGCAGCCUCCAAAUUGCUUCAGCUCCUCAUCUCCUAACCUGGAGGUGCUUCACUCCCUUCCCUCCUCCACACUCAAGCACUCUUUCUUGUUCCUAAGAGAAAGGCUUAGAAGUGACUCAUUUUGUAGCCUUUCUGCUCUCAGGGUACCUUGAGGUCCCCUGGAAAUGAAAGGAUUGGAAGCAACCAGCUUACUUUUCCUCGAAUGCCCAAACACUAAGGGGAAAUCCACACUGGGGAGACACUCUCUCCGGCUUUGUCAGAUACAAAAGGACAGAGCAGUAAAUGCAACCCUUCUCCCCUCGCUGGGCCCCUACUGGGCUCAUUCUUGAGUGUUUGUCCUAUUCUUAGCAACAAAGCCAGUUUCUCCAAGGGUCAAAUCUUGUGGUUUUAUUUUCUGGCUUUGCUCCACUCUUUUCUGGGAUGGCCCUAAUCCCUGGGCCUCAGCAUCCCCACCUUGUAAUUAACUGGGUUACACUCAGGUGAUCAUAGAUGGGGAAGAUUGUGUACUUGCAGCCUUCCAGUGCGACUCCCUCAUUGUGCAGAUAAGGAGAUUGAGGCUCAGAGAAGGGAAGUGGCUUGGCAGGGGUCACCCAGGGGUUGUGUGUUAAGUUUCUGUGUGUCUUUUCUCAUUUUCUUCUUUUAAAAAAAUAUUUAUUUAUUGGUUUCACUGGGUCUUAGUUGGGGCACGUGGGAUCUAGUUGCCAGACCCCUGGACUGGGAGCGUGAAGUCCUAGCCACUGGACCACAGGGAAGUCCAGUUUCUGUGUGUCUUUGUCCUGUCUCCUCAGUAACUCCAUGGCAGGGGCUAUGUUUUGCCUGCUUUUUUAGUCCCUUCAGGGACCCAGGUCCA
rnacentral:lncRNA from 1 species